rnacentral:rRNA from 1 species
GUGGGGAAUCUUCCGCAAUGGACGAAAGCCUGACCCAGCAACGCCGCGUGAAGGAAGAAGGUCUUCGGAUCGUAAACUUCUAUCCUUGGUGAAGAUAAUGACGGUAGCCGAGAAGGAAGCCCCGGCUAACUACGUGCCAGCAGCCGCGGUAAUACGUAGGGGGCAAGCGUUGUCCGGAAUGAUUGGGCGUAAAGGGCGCGUAGGCGGCCUGGUAAGUCUGGAGUGAAAGUCCUGCUUUUAAGGUAGGAAUUGCUUUGGAUACUGUCGGGCUUGAGUGCAGGAGAGGUAAGUGGAAUUCCCGGUGUAGCGGUGAAAUGCGUAGAGAUCGGGAGGAACACCAGUGGCGAAGGCGACUUACUGGACUGUAACUGACGCUGAGGCGCGAAAGUGUGGGGAGCAAACAGGAUUAGAAACCCUUGUAGUCC